rnacentral:ncRNA from 1 species
CCCGGAAGAGUCCGCCUGCCGGCAGGCGGCGCCGAAGGGGAAUGCAAAAGCUCUCAGGCAAAAGGACCGGGCC